CCUACGGGUGGCUGCAGUGGGGAAUAUUGGACAAUGGGCGCAAGCCUGAUCCAGCAAUACCGCGUGUGUGAAGAAGGCCCUAGGGUUGUAAAGCACUUUCAAUUGGGAGGAAAACCUGUCGGUCAAUACCCGGCAGCUUGACAUUACCUUUAGAAGAAGCACCGGCUACCUCCGUGCCAGCAGCCGCGGUAAUACGGAGCGUGCAAGCGUUGAUUGGAAUUACUGUACGUAAAGCGUGAAGACACAUGUCAAAGCCCCGGGCUUAACCUGGGAACUGCAUUUGAAACUGGCGGACUUGAGUUGAGUAGAGGGGAGUGGAAUUUCAGGUGUAGCGGUGAAAUGCGUAGAUAUCUGAAGGAACACCAGUGGCGAAGGCGACUCCCUGGACUCAAACUGACGCUGAGGUACGAAAGCGUGGGUAGCAAACAGGAUUAGAUACCCCGGUAGUC
rnacentral:rRNA from 1 species